UACGUAGGGGGCGAGCGUUGUCCGGAUUUAUUGGGCGUAAAGGGCGUGUAGGCGGUCCUUUAAGUCAGGGGUGAAACCCCGGGGCUCAACCCCGGGCCUGCCUCUGAAACUGAGGGACUUGAGUGCUCUAGAGGGCAGUGGAAUUCCCGGUGUAGCAGUGAAAUGCGUAGAGAUCGGGAGGAACACCAGUGGCGAAGGCGACUGCCUGGGGGGCAACUGACGCUGAGGCGCGAAAGCUGGGGGAGCAAAC
rnacentral:rRNA from 1 species